rnacentral:lncRNA from 13 species
GGGGGAUCUUACAUGAAGAUUUAGGGGAGAAUUGGAAGGAUUGAUUACUCAGGAAGUUCCACAGAGUAUCAAGAAAGCUGCAACUCUUUAGAAAAGUUUGAGUCAUUUCAGUCACAAUUACUGUAUCUACGAAGUGGCGGCAAGAGAUUAUCCUUCAACACUACAGUAGCUGUACCGGGUUUCUCUAUCUGCUAAGCUUAAGAAGGGGACUCUUGCGAGGGGCAGAAUAAAUAUGUUUGAAGACACAGAGGGCCCCAGGUUCCUCAGAAUCCCCAUGGUCUCCCCUGACCCCAGCCUAUGAAUGAAUGAUGACUGCAUGGCCGGACACAUAAAGACUCUUUAUGGUGGUGGACCUGCA